rnacentral:rRNA from 1 species
AUUGAACGCUGGCGGCAUGCUUUACACAUGCAAGUCGAACGGUAACAGGCCGCAAGGUGCUGACGAGUGGCGAACGGGUGAGUAAUGCAUCGGAACGUGCCCAGUCGUGGGGGAUAACUACUCAAAAGAGUAGCUAAUACCGCAUACGAUCUAUGGAUGAAAGCGGGGGACCGUAAGGCCUCGCGCGAUUGGAGCGGCCGAUGUCAGAUUAGGUAGUUGGUGGGGUAAAGGCUCACCAAGCCAACGAUCUGUAGCUGGUCUGAGAGGACGACCAGCCACACUGGGACUGAGACGCGGCCCAGACUCCUACGGGAGGCAGCAGUGGGGAAUUUUGGACAAUGGGCGCAAGCCUGAUCCAGCAAUGCCGCGUGCAGGAAGAAGGCCUUCGGGUUGUAAACUGCUUUUGUACGGAACGAAACGGCUCUGGUUAAUACCCGGGGCUAAUGACGGUACCGUAAGAAUAAGCACCGGCUAACUACGUG